rnacentral:rRNA from 1 species
CGGAUGAAUUGCGAACGGGUGAGUAACGCGUAGGUAACCUGCCUCUUAGCGGGGGAUAACUAUUGGAAACGAUAGCUAAUACCGCAUAAAAGACGAUAUCGCAUAAUAUUGAUUUGAAAGGUGCAAUUGCAUCACUAAGAGAUGGACCUGCGUUGUAUUAGCUAGUUGGUGAGGUAACGGCUCACCAAGGCGACGAUACAUAGCCGACCUGAGAGGGUGAUCGGCCACACUGGGACUGAGACACGGCCCAGACUCCUACGGGAGGCAGCAGUAGGGAAUCUUCGGCAAUGGGGGCAACCCUGACCGAGCAACGCCGCGUGAGUGAAGAAGGUUUUCGGAUCGUAAAGCUCUGUUGUAAGAGAAGAACGAGUGUGAGAGUGGAAAGUUCACACUGCGACGGUAACUUACCAGAAAGGGACGGCUAACUACGUGCCAGCAGCCGCGGUAAUACGUAGGUCCCGAGCGUUAUCCGGAUUUAUUGGGCGUAAAGCGAGCGCAGGCGGUUAGAUAAGUCUGAAGUUAAAGGCUGUGGCUUAACCAUAGUACGCUUUGGAAACUGUUUAACUUGAGUGCAGAAGGGGAGAGUGGAAUUCCAUGUGUAGCGGUGAAAUGCGCAGAUAUAUGGAGGAACACCGGAGGCGA